CGCCGUGGCGGUGCAGAAGCGCAUUGACUGCCACCCGCAGCCCGGCGCUUCCCAGGAGGCCUGCGAGGCGCGGGGCUGCGUCUGGUGCUCGGCCGGGGCGUCCAACGCGCCCUGGUGCUUCUUCCCCGAGGACAGUCCCUACGGCUACGCCCGCAGCGGCAGCGCCGAGCCCACGGACAAGGGCUGGAGAGUCACGCUGAACAAGCGCCAGGCCUUGUCCCUCUUUGGAAAUGACAUUUCCCCCAUCGUCUUGGAAGUGGAGUUCCAGACAAAGGACAGACUCCGGUUCAGGCUCUACGACCCCAACAAGCAGCGGUUUGAAGUCCCACUCAAGAUCGAUGGCCCCGGGGU